UAGCAUAUCAAUAAGCGGAGGAAAAGAAACUAACAAGGAUUCCCAUAGUAACUGCGAGUGAAGCGGGAAAAGCUCAAAUUUGAAAUCUGGCAGUCUUUGAUUGUCCGAGUUGUAAUCUAGAGAAGUGUUACCCGUGUUGGACCGUGUAUAAGUCUCCUGGAAUGGAGCGUCAUAGAGGGUGAGAAUCCCGUCUUGACACGGACUACCAAGACUUUGUGGUGCGCUCUCAAAGAGUCGAGUUGUUUGGGAAUGCAGCUCAAAAUGGGUGGUAAAUGCCAUCUAAAGCUAAAUACAGGCGAGAGACCGAUAGCGAACAAGUACCGUGAGGGAAAGAUGAAAAGAACUUUGGAAAGAGAGUUAAACAGUACGUGAAAUUGCUGAAAGGGAAACGCUUGAAGUCAGUCGCAUUGGCUGGGAAUCAACCUUGCUUUUGCUUGGUGUACUUUCUAGUUGAUGGGUCAACAUCAAUUUUGACCAAUGGAUAAAAGUGAUGGGAAUGUGGCAUCCUUGGAUGUGUUAUAGCCUGUUGCUGCAUACAUUGGUUGGGAUUGAGGAAUUCAGCACGCCGCAAGGCCGGGUUUCGACCACGUUCGUGCUUAGGAUGUUGGCAUAAUGGCUUUAAUCGACCCGUCUUGAAACACGGACCAAGGAGUCUAACAUGCCUGCGAGUGUUUGGGUGGUAAACCCGAGCGCGCAAUGAAAGUGAAAGUUGAGAUCCCUGUCGUGGGGAGCAUCGACGCCCGGACCAGACCUUCUGCRACGGAUCCGCGGUAGAGCAUGUAUGUUGGGACCCGAAAGAUGGUGAACUAUGCCUGAAUAGGGGAACCCAGAGGAUUACUCUGGUGGAG
rnacentral:rRNA from 1 species